UAAUACGUAGGUGGCGAGCGUUGUCCGGAAUUACUGGGCGUAAAGGGCGCGCAGGCGGGUUUUUAAGUCAGAUGUGUAAUCUACAGGCUCAACCUGUAGUUUGCAUCUGAUACUGGAAAUCUUGAGGGUAGGAGAGGACAGUGGAAUUCCUAGUGUAGCGGUGAAAUGCGUAGAUAUUAGGAGGAACACCAGUGGCGAAGGCGGCUGUCUGGCCUACAACUGACGCUGAGGCGCGAAAGCGUGGGUAGCGAACAGGAUUAGAUACCCUGGUAGUCCACGCCGUAAACGAUGGGUACUAGGUGUAGGAGGUAUCGACCCCUUCUGUGCCGGAGUUAACACAAUAAGUACCCCGCCUGGGGACUACGGCCGCAAGGCUAAAACUCAAAGGAAUUGACGGGGGCCCGCACAAGCGGUGGAGCAUGUGGUUUAAUUCGACGCAACGCGAAGAACCUUACCAGGGCUUGACAUCCUCUGAAUACCCUAGAGAUAGGGGAAGUCCUUCGGGACAGAUAGACAGGUGGUGCAUGGUUGUCGUCAGCUCGUGUCGUGAGAUGCUGGGUUAAGUCCCGCAACGAGCGCAACCCUUGUCAUUAGUUGCUAACAGUAAGAUGAGCACUCUAAUGAGACUGCCGGGGACAACUCGGAGGAAGGUGGGGAUGACGUCAAAUCAUCAUGCCCUUUAUGUCCUGGGCUACACACGUGCUACAAUGGCCUGUACAGAGGGUAGCGAAGCUGUGAAGUGGAGCCAAUCCCAAAAAGCAGGUCUCAGUUCGGAUUGUAGGCUGCAACUCGCCUACAUGAAGUCGGAAUCGCUAGUAAUCGCGAAUCAGCAUGUCGCGGUGAAUACGUUCCCGGGCCUUGUACACACCGCCCGUCACACCACGAAAGUUGACAACACCCGAAGCCGGUGUACUAACCGUAAGGAAGAAGCCGUCGAAGGUGGGGCCGAUGAUUGGGGUG
rnacentral:rRNA from 1 species